UUUACUAAUAAAGAAUGUUUUCCUAAAUAAAAAACUUUUAUAAGGUAGAGUAUAGGAAAAUUAGAAAUACCUAAAUACUUAAGACUUGGUCUGAUAAGAUUCACAUAAUUUGUGUAAAAGCUUUAGUUAUCUAGUACCUUUUGUAUAAUGGCCUUUCAAGAGUUUUUACCUUAAUGGUUUUUCCUGAAUUAAAAAGAUCUUUUAUGGGUUACGGGCUUAACGAUGUAAGGAAUCCCUAAAUCCCUUAAAAGAUGUGAUAUGCAAUAUCGGGUUUUAGUGUAGCUGGUUGCGUGAAAAGUGCUUUUAGGUGCAGCUUUGAAAUGGCUUUAACUAGUAGAUUAUCUGUACUAAGUUAAAGUUUUAAAAGUGAUAAGCUCGGCUAAAGGUCGUGUUCUUUGUUUUCUAAAAUUUAUAUGCUUUAAAAAGAGAAAUUGGAUUUAAAAUGUCCGUUUUGGUAGGAGUAUUUAACAACUUGUCUUUUAAGAAGUGAGUAUAAUUAUUUUAUAUAACACAUUAGAGGUAAGUAAAGAUCAUGCGGCUAUAUUUAAUGUAAAGAGUAGAACUUUAUGCUAGGAUUAGUAACAAUAAUA
rnacentral:rRNA from 1 species